CCUACGGGUGGCUGCAGUGGGGAAUAUUGGACAAUGGGCGAAAGCCUGAUCCAGCCAUGCCGCGUGUGUGAAGAAGGCCUUCGGGUUGUAAAGCACUUUCAGUGGGGAAGAAAGCCUUGGGGCUAAUACCCUCGAGGAAGGACAUCACCCACAGAAGAAGCACCGGCUAACUCCGUGCCAGCAGCCGCGGUAAUACGGAGGGUGCGAGCGUUAAUCGGAAUUACUGGGCGUAAAGCGCGCGUAGGCGGUCUGAUAAGCCGGUUGUGAAAGCCCCGGGCUCAACCUGGGAACGGCAUCCGGAACUGUCAGGCUAGAGUGCAGGAGAGGAAGGUAGAAUUCCCGGUGUAGCGGUGAAAUGCGUAGAGAUCGGGAGGAAUACCAGUGGCGAAGGCGGCCUUCUGAACUGACACUGACGCUGAGGUGCGAAAGCGUGGGUAGCAAACAGGAUUAGAUACCCGAGUAGUC
rnacentral:rRNA from 1 species